rnacentral:lncRNA from 1 species
UCCAAAACAGGGUUUAUAAUCACUCGGUCGUUUCUGUUUCUUUAUUAUGUUAUCAUGAUAAGACCAGAUACAGUUAGAUAUGAAGCUGUUUGUUUGUCGCCCUUUAUGUUAAUGUGAUAUUCAGUAGGGUAGCUCUUUAAUUUAUAUUUUUCUUUCUCUUAGGCAGCAAUGAUGCUCCUUAUAUUGAUGUGAUAUUCUACCAUGUUUUAUCCUAUACAUUACAAUGCCAUUCUGUAUUUAGUAUGCUCAGGAUCAUUUGAUCUGUCUUGUGCUUGUGUUUUCUUUGUUGGUUCAGUCUUAAUGGUACUUAUCCUUAUAGUUCCUUGGGAUUUUUGUCUAUCAUACCUUUUGACCUUUCACUACGUUAGUAUUUUUGACUAAUUCGGCAGUUACAUUGCAAGUUCAAGGAAUAUCAUUGGCACAGCAGAGAGGUUGCAAACAAGAAGUUGAGUUUAUCACCUGGUGGCAUUAAAAUGUAUCAUUAUUCCUCCAGAUGAAGAGGUACCAUUCCCUACUGUUACAAAAUCAAAUAAUUUUGUGUUAUGCCGAUAAGCUUGGUAAAGUUGUGUGCUCACGUCAUAUCAUCAAUCUGUCCUCAUUUGUUAUGCAUGUAAUCUACUGAUUGUAGUAGCCUUAUGUAGAAAAACAAUUAUUUUAUUUAUGUUCUCCCAUCGCAGAACCAUCUUGGGUGAAACUGUUAUUACCACAUUUGAGGGACUGCAACCAUUUAUUGCUGCCUUAAUUUGUUAAAUUAGUUUGAAGACAGCCAUAUGUUUCCAUAAAUUCUGAAUUCUUUACUACACUAAGAUUGAGCGGAAUACAUGGUGUGAUUAGCAAUUGUUCUGUUUUCCGUUGAAAUACAUGUAAUAUUACCACCUACACUCUACUUAUCUCUAAUUAGAUUAUGUAAUGAGCACUGUCUUUAUACAUAUUUUCACAGACAGAAAAUAGCCUUUGCAAAGGAUAAGAGGGCGACAACAGAAUUAAGAUUGCUUUGUGUGUUUGUUGAGUUGGCCUUGAGCUGCUGGGUGGAGGUAUGAUUUUUUGCUUAAUUGCCAAGUGCAUGAAUUGAUUGCCGUGUGUUCUUUUAGUUUCGUGCUUGGAAAUUAAUCAAUUGGUACAAGUUUUAAACUAGCUGCUAAAAAUAUAUUGUUUUAGUUGUAUGUCAACCAGCCAUCACACAUAAAGACGGUUAUGAUUUUGAGUACCCGUUUGAAAACUAAUUUGUUUUGAAAUGUUGGAAUGGAGACCAGGAACACAACACUCAACAAGUGGUCUGAUGUUGAAUUUAGUUGUCCAUUGCCUCCGGCGAAUGUCAUCUCCCAGCUCGUGGCCUUGCCCCCCUAGUAUUUUUCAUACUAUACUAAGCUGCAAAAGCUAUUUUGUUGAUUUUUUUAACUAAUGACAAUACUUCAAAGAGAAGUAAUUAUAAUAAGAUUGUUCCUGCAUGUUUUUCUUUUCAAAAAGUAGCCUCCAUGCUUCUUAAAUCUGGGUACUGUUUUGUACAGAAGCUUUUGUCUAUAGAGAAGGACAUCUGUUUCUGGUACAUACUAUUAAAACUAAUGAGCAAGUUUGCUGCAAUGAUGUUCCACAUAUAUGGUUUGCAGCUCCAUCAAUUAAAUUUGGUGUCAACUUUGUGUACAAUUCUGCGACUUAUAGUUUCACCUAGUUAUUAUGUGAUGGAUUUAGAGGGAUGGAGGUAAGGUUUGGCCAAGUUAAUUUGAGAAACUAAGAUGCCGAAUAGGUUCUUACUAUAUCACAGAUCAAUGGUCCUAGUUCUUGCAAUCGUACUUUUGCAAUUGACAUUUGACAUAAAAUGUACAACCUCCAUGAGUCCUUUCUUUAACAGAUUGAUGAGUCUUUUUGGUGCAGGCUAAUCUGGAAAAGAAGCCAAUUCAAGCUGUAAUUGAGUAACAAAUGAGGUCAUGUUUUUCAUAUGUAGUUGACGAACUUAUGUGUUAUUAGAUGUGCUCUUCCUCCUUUGUUGUAUGCAAAUUAGACGGAUUUGUAUACAAAGUACAUGUGAUUUAUUAAAACUAUGAUUAAU